rnacentral:lncRNA from 1 species
GGUAUUAGCGGAUUCUCUCAUUGGGCGCCCAGGUUUAAAGCUGGGUGUCCACAAUUUUUUUUAAAAGACCGGAAGUGGAGUCACUGAGAGAUAAUUACACAUACGUUUUGUUUGAAUAUUACCAACACUGAUAUACUACAAUAAACCCCGGAUUCUACUUGCAAGUCACAACUUUUCGAUUGCUGUUCUUAUUGUCUUAGAUGUAAUCUUCGAGGUCAUCAGAAAUGGAAAGGAAAGUCAGCAGAAUCUCUCUGGCUUCUGAACCCAAUGUAACCUACUUUCUACAAGUGUCUUGGGAGGGGACGAUAGGAUCUGGUUUUGUUAUUACACUUACGGAUGGCCAUUCAGCCUGGACUGCAAAAGUUUCUGAAUCGGAGAUUGCACAGGAAGCUGAUGACAUGGCUAUGGAGCAGGAAAAAUACAUGGAUGAGCUGAGACGGGCACUGGUGCCAGAGUCGGGAGCAGCUGGUGCAUACAAGUUCAUCUUUUCCAAGGACACUCAGCAUUUCUCCCUGGAGAAAGAACUGAAAGAUGUUUCU